rnacentral:lncRNA from 1 species
AAACCUUUCAUAUGCAUUGCAUCCAUGAGUAUCAUGCCACAUUGCAUAUUUGAAUUCAAAUUUGAAUCUCAAAAGGUUUUAAAAAGGUUUUAUUUCAUUUUAAACCCUAGGGUUUCACCCAUUUGAGCUUUGGAUCUUAAAACCAAUAAGGUUUAUCUAUAAAUGGGGUUUAUUGCAUAAAUAAGCUAUCCCAUAAUUUUUGGUUAUUUAUUUGGAGUUGAAAAACUAUUUUAUUUAAAUAGUUAUAUAGCCCUAAAGGCAUUUAUAGGGCAAAUGUAUUUUUAUAUAAUUUAUUUUGAGGGGAAAUUACUCCCAAAAGUUGAAUCAUGAUAGAACAUGAUUUUACAAAUUUUCUGGAAUUUAUUUGGAUCAAUUUGGAGUUCAAAAUCAAAAGAUAUCAAAGAAAUCAGAAAAAGAAAAAGAGAAAAGGCUAAAAGGAAAAAAAAAAAGGAACGGACUGACCCACUGGGCCGGCCCGCUUAGCCCGACCGAUCGAGCCGGUUGUCUCCGCCAAGAUGCCACCACGACGCCCGCGCCUUCCAUACGUGCCGCCCGCGCCAUCCCCGCCGGGAUCUCCUUGCUCCGUCCCCUAAACCUCAGCCCGAGCGCGUCUUUUUAAAGCCCGCGUCCUCCUCCUUCUUUCCCCUCGGCCCUCCCUCUCGAUUUUCGCCGCCAGGCUGCCUGAUUUCUCGCAAGAGAAGCUCGGACGCCGCCGCGUCUUUGGGUCGCCGCUGACGUGCUCGGUGAGUUUUUCUCACAGCCGCAUACCCCUCUCUUCUCCUCUCUCUCUCUCUCACACAUCGUGACGCGUGCCGUUUCCUCUUUGGUGCACCGCCGCCCGUGCCCGUCGCCGCCCGAAGCUCUGCCGCCCGC